ACGGAGGGUGCAAGCGUUAAUCGGAAUUACUGGGCGUAAAGCGCACGCAGGCGGUCUGUUAAGUCAGAUGUGAAAUCCCCGGGCUCAACCUGGGAACUGCAUCUGAUACUGGCAGGCUUGAGUCUCGUAGAGGGGGGUAGAAUUCCAGGUGUAGCGGUGAAAUGCGUAGAGAUCUGGAGGAAUACCGGUGGCGAAGGCGGCCCCCUGGACGAAGACUGACGCUCAGGUGCGAAAGCGUGGGGAGCAAACAG
rnacentral:rRNA from 1 species